GACGAACGCUGGCGGCGUGCUUAACACAUGCAAGUCGAACGGAAAGGCCCUGCUUGCAGGGUACUCGAGUGGCGAACGGGUGAGUAACACGUGGGUGAUCUGCCCUGCACUUCGGGAUAAGCCUGGGAAACUGGGUCUAAUACCGGAUAGGAGCCAUUUUUAGUGUGAUGGUUGGAAAGUUUUUUCGGUGUAGGAUGAGCUCGCGGCCUAUCAGCUUGUUGGUGGGGUAAUGGCCUACCAAGGCGGCGACGGGUAGCCGGCCUGAGAGGGUGGACGGCCACAUUGGGACUGAGAUACGGCCCAGACGCCUACGGGGGGCAGCAGUGGGGAAUAUUGCACAAGGGGCGCAAGCCUGAUGCAGCGACGCCGCGUGGGGGAUGACGGCCUUCGGGUUGUAAACUCCUUUCGCUAGGGACGAAGCUUUUUGUGACGGUACCUAGAUAAGAAGCACCGGCUAACUACGUG
rnacentral:rRNA from 1 species